rnacentral:rRNA from 1 species
GACGAACGCUGGCGGCGUGCUUAACACAUGCAAGUCGAACGGGUCUGCCCUGUUUUUUGCGGGGUGGGUCAGUGGCGAACGGGUGAGUAACACGUGAGUAACCUGCCCCUCACUUCUGGAUAACCGCUUGAAAGGGUGGCUAAUACGGGGUGUUCUGGCUGUGCCGCAUGGUGUGGCUGGGAAAGAUUCACUUUUGUGGUGUUUUGGUGGGGGAUGGGCUCGCGGCCUAUCAGCUUGUUGGUGGGGUGAUGGCCUGCCAAGGCUUUGACGGGUAGCCGGCCUGAGAGGGUGGGCGGUCACACUGGGACUGAGAUACGGCCCAGACUCCUGCGGGAGGCAGCAGUGGGGGGUAUUGCACAAUGGGCGGAAGCCUGAUGCAGCGACGUCGCGUGAGGGAUGGAGGCCUUCGGGUUGUGAACCUUUUUCGCCGGUGAAGAAGGUCCUGCUCUUUGUGGUGGGGUUGACGGUAGCCGGGUUGUGAAGCGCCGGCUAACUACGUG